rnacentral:tRNA from 1 species
GGUGUGGCUCAGUGGUAGAGCAUUUUGCUAGCGUGUGUGACUCCCUGGGUUCAAUUCCCAGCAUC